GAUGAACGCUGGCGGCGUGCCUAAUACAUGCAAGUCGAGCGAAUGGAUUAAGAGCCUGCUCUUAUGAAGUUAGCGGCGGACGGGUGAGUAACACGUGGGUAACCUGCCCAUAAGACUGGGAUAACUCCGGGAAACCGGGGCUAAUACCGGAUAACAUUUUGAACCGCAUGGUUCGAAAUUGAAAGGCGGCUUCGGCUGUCACUUAUGGAUGGACCCGCGUCGCAUUAGCUAGUUGGUGAGGUAACGGCUCACCAAGGCAACGAUGCGUAGCCGACAUGAGAGGGUGGUAGGCCACACUGGGACUGAGACACGGCCCAGACUCCUACGGGAGGCAGCAGUAGGGAAUCUUCCGCAAUGGACGAAAGUCUGACGGAGCAACGCCGUGUGAGUGAUGAAGGCUUUCGGGUCGUAAAACUCUGUUGUUAGGGAAGAACAAGUGCUAGUUGAAUAAGCUGGCACCUUGACGGUACCUAACCAGAAAGCCACGGCUAACUACGUGCCAGCCGCCGCCGUAA
rnacentral:rRNA from 1 species